rnacentral:lncRNA from 1 species
AACUAAGUGAUAGAGAUGUAGGAUCAUUUGAAUUGUGCUAGGAUCUUCCUAAGUGUCUCCUGGAUUUUCUUCCUAGCUGGCAAUGCUCUGUUACAUCCUGGUUAUUUUUAUUACGGGUAAGAUAACAGAAAACAAGAAACCAAAAGACUGUCAUGUACACAUCCAGUGAACCUUAUCACACAACCCUUGAACUUCAGUUUUCUCAUAGUAAAGCGGAAAAAAAAAAGAAGCUUCCCUAAAGAAUGAUUGGUAAACUGGACCUGUGCAGCUUUUCAUGAAACAUUCCAAUCGGGAAAUGACUACUAAAUACCAGCUGCAGCUCCAGGUGCCCCAGCCACCCCUCCGGAGCCCUGUGUCAGGAGAGUAUCUGUGGCCCAGGUGCAGGUUUGAAGACAGCCCACAGCAGCCUAGAGAUCACUGUGCAUUUCCUGCACAGAAAAACCUGGAAGAUUGUGGAAAUGUAAACUAUGGAAUGACUGGGACCAAAGCCAAAAAUGUCUUCACCACAUAAUGUAGGCUCACUCAACCAUGGAGAAAAGAAAGACAUUGAAGGAGUCAAACUAAAUAUCACCUACAUUUCAUCCCUGAGAACAGAGGCUUCCAGAUCAUGGAAGAUGAAAAUGGUGUCUUGUAAAAAAGUUUUGCAAAUCAAUGUAUUUAAAGACCAAAGUACACCAAAAAAGUGUCUUGCCAUUUCUAAUGAAAUAUAUCCACAAAC